rnacentral:rRNA from 1 species
UACGUAGGGACCAAGCGUUGUUCGGAUUUACUGGGCGUAAAGGGCGCGUAGGCGGCGUGGUAAGUCACUUGUGAAAUCUCUGAGCUUAACUCAGAACGGCCAAGUGAUACUGCUGUGCUAGAGUGCAGAAGGGGCAAUCGGAAUUCUUGGUGUAGCGGUGAAAUGCGUAGAUAUCAGGAGGAACACCAAUGGCGAAGGCAGCUCGCUGGGACGUGACUGACGCUGAGACGCGAAAGCGUGGGGAGCAAACAGG